rnacentral:rRNA from 1 species
UCCCAGACUCCUACGGGAGGCAGCAGUGGGGAAUAUUGCACAAUGGGCGAAAGCCUGAUGCAGCGACGCCGCGUGAGUGAAGAAGUAUUUCGGUAUGUAAAGCUCUAUCAGCAGGGAAGAAAAUGACGGUACCUGACUAAGAAGCCCCGGCUAACUACGUGCCAGCAGCCGCGGUAAUACGUAGGGGGCAAGCGUUAUCCGGAUUUACUGGGUGUAAAGGGAGCGUAGACGGCGAUGCAAGCCAGAUGUGAAAGCCCGCGGCUCAACUGCGGUAGUGCAUUUGGAACUGUAUGGCUGGAGUGCAGGAGAGGCAGGCGGAAUUCCUAGUGUAGCGGUGAAAUGCGUAGAUAUUAGGAGGAACACCAGUGGCGAAGGCGGCCUGCUGGACUGUAACUGACGUUGAGGCUCGAAAGCGUGGGGAGCAAACAGGAUUAGAUACCCGCGUA